rnacentral:tmRNA from 1 species
UCAUUUGAGGGAUCACGGGGUCGAAACAGGAACGACGGACGUUCAAAGAUGUUAGCUUUUACUCGGCGGACUGCCACCGUAUCGGCGUAAAAUGUACAAUUGCAAAUGACAAUCGUGCUCCAGUGGCUCUCGCAGCGUAAGCUGUGCGAAAUACUGAAACCUAACUCCAUGCUAUUAGCGUAGUAUGGCGGGGUUCGGAGGUACCUGGCAACAGAAACCUCCACU